rnacentral:rRNA from 1 species
UACGUAGGGUGCGAGCGUUGUCCGGAAUUACUGGACGUAAAGAGCUCGUAGGUGGUUUGUCGCGUUGUCCGUGAAAACUCACAACUCAAUUGUGGGCGUGCGGGCGAUACGGGCAGACUGGAGUACUGCAGGGGGAGACUGGAAUUCCUGGUGUAGCGGUGGAAUGCGUAGAUAUCUGGAGGAACACCGGUGGCGAAGGCGGCAUCCUGGACCGAAACUGACACUGAGGAGCGAAAGCCAGGGGAGCAAACGGG